rnacentral:rRNA from 1 species
UACAGAGGUCUCAAGCGUUGUUCGGAUUCAUUGGGCGUAAAGGGUGCGUAGGCGGCCAACUAAGUCAGACGUGAAAUCCCUCGGCUUAACCGGGGAACUGCGUCUGAUACUGGUUGGCUUGAAUCCGGGAGAGGGAUGUGGAAUUCCAGGUGUAGCGGUGAAAUGCGUAGAUAUCUGGAGGAACACCGGUGGCGAAGGCGGCAUCCUGGACCGGUAUUGACGCUGAGGAGCGAAAGCCAGGGGAGCAAAGCGGG